rnacentral:misc_RNA from 1 species
CAGAGUUGGCAAAACUCCCACAAACCAUCGCGAAUCUUACCCGUGCGGUUGCCUCGGCGCUGGCGGUCCGGAAGGCCCUCGGGCCCCCCGGAUCCUCGGGUCUCCGCUCGCGGGAGGCUGCCCGCCGGAGUGCCGAACCAAACUCUUGAUAUUUUAUGUCUCUCUGAGUAAACUUUUAAUAAGUCA